UACAGAGGUCUCAAGCGUUGUUCGGAUUCAUUGGGCGUAAAGGGUGUGUAGGUGGCGCCGUAAGUCGGGUGUGAAAUUUCGGAGCUUAACUCCGAAACUGCAUUCGAUACUGCGGUGCUUGAGGACUGGAGAGGAGACUGGAAUUCAUGGUGUAGCAGUGAAAUGCGUAGAGAUCAUGAGGAAGACCAGUGGCGAAGGCGGGUCGUCCUGGACAGUUCCUGACACUGAGACACGAAGGCCAGGGGAGCAAACGGG
rnacentral:rRNA from 1 species